rnacentral:rRNA from 1 species
AUGGCCAUACCAUGCUGAAUACACCGGUUCUCGUUAGAUCACCGAAGUCAAGCAUCAUUGGGCGUGGUCAGUACUUGGGUGGGUGACCACCUGGGAACACCGCGUGCCGUU